rnacentral:rRNA from 1 species
ACGGGUGAGUAACACAUCGGAACGUGCCCAAUCGUGGGGGAUAACGCAGCGAAAGCUGUGCUAAUACCGCAUACGAUCUACGGAUGAAAGCAGGGGAUCGCAAGACCUUGCGCGAAUGGAGCGGCCGAUGGCAGAUUAGGUAGUUGGUGAGGUAAAGGCUCACCAAGCCUUCGAUCUGUAGCUGGUCUGAGAGGACGACCAGCCACACUGGGACUGAGACACGGCCCAGACUCCUACGGGAGGCAGCAGUGGGGAAUUUUGGACAAUGGGCGAAAGCCUGAUCCAGCCAUGCCGCGUGCAGGAUGAAGGCCUUCGGGUUGUAAACUGCUUUUGUACGGAACGAAACGGUCUUUUCUAAUAAAGAAGGCUAAUGACGGUACCGUAAGAAUAAGCACCGGCUAACUACGUGCCAGCAGCCGCGGUAAUACGUAGGGUGCAAGCGUUAAUCGGAAUUACUGGGCGUAAAGCGUGCGCAGGCGGUGAUGUAAGACAGUUGUGAAAUCCCCGGGCUCAACCUGGGAACUGCAUCUGUGACUGCAUCGCUGGAGUACGGCAGAGGGGGAUGGAAUUCCGCGUGUAGCA